UACGUAGGGUGCGAGCGUUAAUCGGAAUUACUGGGCGUAAAGCGUGCGCAGGCGGGCUUUUAAGCCAGACGUGAAAUCCCCGGGCUUAACCUGGGAAUGGCGUUUGGGACUGGGAGUCUGGAGUGCGGCAGAGGAGACUGGAAUUCCUGGUGUAGCAGUGAAAUGCGUAGAUAUCAGGAGGAACACCGGUGGCGAAGGCGGGUCUCUGGGCCGAUACUGACGCUGAGGAGCGAAAGCAUGGGGAGCGAACAGG
rnacentral:rRNA from 1 species